UGAAAGGUCUUCUUCCUCCAAUGAUAUGGUGCCCUUCAUCUCAGUCUCAGAGUAUCUUACUUAACUGAAGCUGGAUCUUAUGACAAGUUGCUAAAGCAGCCAGAGAAACAACGGAUCUGAUUAUCUUAGCCAGCUUUAAGAUGGAAACCAGUUGUUAGGAUCAAAUCCAAAGGAUCUCCAUCUGUUUUAAUUAUGACUACUUGAUCAGAGAUGUUUUUCUGUGUCACAGAAACAAUGUGUGUGGUCUUCAGAAAGUCAGAAAAUUGUUUUUGGCUUCAGCUAUAUGAGCUUACCCAUCAUUUCUUUCCGGCAAAUUGACCCACUGGCAGAAUUUACUGAAUCAACUAGUCAUUUUGAUAUUGUGUGCACAAAAUCAUCAGGAAACAAACAAAAAAGGUAAAUUCACUUCCUAAAAAUGGACAAAUUAAAAUUUUAUUGCCCCUAUCACUUUUAUAUUAUAAAUAUACAUAUACAUUUAUCACAAUAUGUGUAAACUUAUUUUGUCUCAUGACUGAGAAUGGUGGCACAGAUCUGUAAUCCCUGCCAACAGGGAAGCUGAGGCAGGUGGAAGACAUGAGCUCAGGUGUCCAGAGUGCCAGUAUGCUAAGCCAUUUGGGUAUCCACACUAAAUCUGGCUCCAACAUGAUAAGUUCCUGUGAGUGGAGGCCAUCUCUGAUUGAAAGAAUAAUGAGCACCUUUGAACUCAAAAUCACAGCUCCUGAUUUGUUUCCUAAGGAUGGAGAAAUGUCACUAAAGGAAGCAAAGGGGAACCCAGAACAAGUAUACACAAGAAGACAGCUAGGCUGAAGACAACACAAUUUCUAGGGCACUCAGAUAUAUUUGAAAGAGGAGAAGACAUUAAAUGACUCAAAAAAUCAUGGUCAUCAUCACUGCCAAAAUGGACAAAUAAUAUGGGGAUAGAAGAGUCUAGCCAUCAAAUCAUAUGAAGAAGACCUGAGAGUUUCCACGAAUUUUAAUCUUGAAAUGAGUCAACACUGUAAAAGACAAAUGCGACCUUGGUUGGCACUAAUAGAAGCAUAAUGUAC